GCCGGUGGGGGGCUGGCGCGGGGGACCCCGGGAGGGGCCUCGCGGCCCGGAUUAGGCGGCGACCGGAGACUUUGAAGGGCGCCGUGAACUUUAGCAAAUGGAUCGCCGCCAAAGGGCAGAAAAGAACAUUGAUCUACGCCUCAGUAUCACAAGGUGGUUUUGAUCUUCCGGAAACCCGAGCGGGAGUGCUGCUACGGUGUGGAGAAAAGAAUUCUACAGAUUUCUUCAGAGUUACAGCAAUACUCUUGAAAUUCCAGUGCAUCCUGUGCCCUUGGAGAGGACUUGGGGCUUCACAGUUUUAAGUUGCACAUAUUUACAAAACUUCCCACAGGGUGAAGUCCAGAGUAAAUUCAAAAUCAGCAUCUUUUAAAAUUAAGUAUAUUUCUGUUCAUUCAAA